CUCACCUGUAGUUUAAAACAACUAUAAAAACAGCAGAAGUUCACCAACGCUCAGAAGGACUACAGCCACCAAAGGGUUGUGUUGGAUCUUGAACCUACCUGAAUUCAUGCAGGGCAAGGCAGGACACCCCCUGAACAGGGCACUAAGAAAGUAUGAGCACCCAGCAAAGCAUAAAUGAGGAGAAAAUAUGAAGUUAUGAAGAUCCCUACCACAACCUUAAAGAAGACUAGACAACAACAUGGAAGCAGACCAGCGCAAAGCUAGCGCAGAGUAUUAUUAAACUUAUGAUUAAAGGUAAGAUCAUUACCUGACCAUGUUUGUAGUAACAAAUGCUCAAAAUCUGAAAAAUGGUCAAAAACUUGCUAAACUAUCAUGGUGAUUUAAUCGCAUUUAAAAUCAUUUUGUAUAUUUUUCCAAAAAUACAGAUGUUUUAUACACAGACUUUCCUCUUGGUACAUGACUAUUUACAUAUUUUUUCUGUCAGUUACAAUCCAGGUUACUGUUAUGGCUGCCUUUGAGCAGCAAUUAUUGAGUAUGAGACUGUUGUGAGGGCAUUGUAGUAUUUAUAUUGGCUAAUUAAACACGAUAUUGUCUCAUACAAACAAUGCAGCCCUACUGGAUGUGGCUGAGUUUCUUGGCUGUGUUUUCUUUUCUUUUCUUUUCUUUUUUUUUAAUUAAUGGUAAUGAAAUCUGUUGCCAUUUGUAUCAUCUUAUUUUUUUACAGCACACUUUUAUGUUUACCUGUAUACUGUAAUUGGGAACUUUACCAAGAGCAAGAGAAUACCUUUUACACCCAGCAAGGCAUAUCCCUUCAUUUAUUUCAGUAAAAAAACUAGACUAAAAUUCCCCUGCCAUCAAUGUACAGUGUAAAUUGCUAAAGGAAGCAUUAAUAUGAAAAACAUUGAUUCAUUUAUUUACUUUUUUUUUUAAACCCUAGAAAUUUACUGAAGAGGGAACCUCAUAAAGGCUUAUUAUAGAAAGAAAAGGAUUAUUAUUAUAUGGUCCUUCAGUCUGAGAAUUCUACUGUGCAUUCAGAAAAGGCAGGAGAUAAAAUACUCUUAUAAUAAUUGCACUUACAAGUACAAGCAGGAAUGUAUUUAUGUAUUCACUGCUGCAGCAAAACAAACUAUGCUGAAGUUGAUGAAACAGUUAAUUCAAAAAGUUAAAUUGUUUAACUGUAAAAAAUGCAUGCAGAAUGUAUGCAAUGUAAAUUAUGUAGCAAUAAUUUGACUAUUUAUUUCAGUUUAAUUUAACAGUUACGCAAUUCAAGAUAUAUAUUUUUAUUUUGCUAUUAAGGGAAAUUAUAACCCCAAAUCCAACAAAAGAUGAGAAAGCAUGCAAAACCCCCACUUUUAUUUACAGUAUGAACCCAAAAUGUUAUGUUCUAUCUGGUCUUUUACCUUAAUUUCAUUUGUUAAUAUACACCAAUUCCUGUAAUUCAGCAACAUAUUCAAAAAAAAGUUUGGACAGUACAGCAUUUACCACUUUGUAAUGUUGACAUUUUGUCUGUCAACAUUGUUAAAUACAUUUUUGCACUGAAUAUACCAAGAGAUUAAAUGUUUCAGGUGAUAUUUUUAUUGAUUUCUUCCUUCAAACAUGCAGCAUGUGGUUUUGCAUUGUCUUGUUAAAAUGUAUGUCACUAUAAAUGAUGCUCCCUUAAAGUCAGCAUAUUUUACAAUGAAAUCAAGAGGGUAUAAACUUCCUUAGCAUAGAGCUAUGGAGCAGUGGAUCUGUGUUUUCUGUAAGGAUAAUGCUCCAUCAAAUACUUUUGA